AGCGAACGCUGGCGGCAGGCCUAACACAUCCAAGUCGAACGGAUCCUUCGGGAUUAGUGGCGGACGGGUGAGUAACACGUGGGAACGUGCCCUUUGGUUCGGAACAACUCAGGGAAACUUGAGCUAAUACCGGAUGUGCCCUUCGGGGGAAAGAUUUAUCGCCAUUGGAGCGGCCCGCGUCUGAUUAGCUAGUUGGUGAGGUAACGGCCCACCAAGGCGACGAUCAGUAGCUGGUCUGAGAGGAUGAUCAGCCACACUGGGACUGAGACACGGCCCAGACUCCUACGGGAGGCAGCAGUGGGGAAUCUUGCGCAAUGGGCGAAAGCCUGACGCAGCCAUGCCGCGUGAAUGAUGAAGGUCUUAGGAUUGUAAAAUUCUUUCAGCGGGGACGAUAAUGACGGUACCCGCAGAAGAAGCUCCGGCUAACUUCGUG
rnacentral:rRNA from 1 species